rnacentral:rRNA from 1 species
UGGGGAAUCUUGCACAAUGGGCGAAAGCCUGAUGCAGCAACGCCGCGUGAGUGAUGAAGGCCUUCGGGUUGUAAAGCUCUGUCUUCUGGGACGAUAAUGACGGUACCAGAGGAGGAAGCCACGGCUAACUACGUGCCAGCAGCCGCGGUAAUACGUAGGUGGCAAGCGUUGUCCGGAUUUACUGGGCGUAAAGGAUGCGUAGGCGGAUACUUAAGUCAGAUGUGAAAAUCCCGGGCUUAACUUGGGAACUGCAUUUGAAACUGGGUAUCUAGAGUGCGGGAGAGGAAAGUGGAAUUCCUAGUGUAGCGGUGAAAUGCGUAGAGAUGAGGAAGAACACCAGUGGCGAAGGCGACUUUCUGGACCGUAACUGACGCUGAGGCAUGAAAGCGUGGGGAGCAAACA